UACGUAGGGGGCGAGCGUUGUCCGGAUUUAUUGGGCGUAAAGAGCGUGUAGGCGGCCAGGUAGGUCUGCUGUGAAAACUCGAGGCUCAACCUCGAGACGUCGGCGGAAACCAUCUGGCUAGAGUCCGGAAGAGGAGAGUGGAAUUCCUGGUGUAGCGGUGAAAUGCGCAGAUAUCAGGAAGAACACCCAUGGCGAAGGCGGCUCUCUGGGACGGUACUGACGCUGAGACGCGAAAGCGUGGGGAGCGAACAGG
rnacentral:rRNA from 1 species